rnacentral:misc_RNA from 1 species
ACACCAAAUGUUCCAUCACCAAAUGUAAAAAGCUGCCCUGUUGAUGUUACCAAGGCUGUAUGCCAUGGACCGCAAGUUACUGAAGCAACCUGAAGUCCCUCAAGUGGACCUGAGAUUCUCUUAGGUAUCCAGUGACUGACAUCAGUGCCAUGACCAAGAAGCCCAGCAUUAUGCGUGCCAUCUCCCCAUGUAUAGAGUUCCCCAGCCAUUGUAACAGCACAACUAUGAAAUUCUCCACAUGCUACGAAAUCUACAGUAGAAACUGCCAAAGAUUCAAUCAGACGAGGUUGAAUAACAUCCUUGCCUACACCAUGGCCAAGCCGUCCACCAGAUUCUUCACCCCAUGUAAAAACUUCACCUUGCCUUGUGACCAACGCUGCAUGCCUUACCCCACAGGCUAUAUGAUGCACAUCUAAAACUAUAUUAGACUCUAAUGGCCUAGGAAGAAGAACAUCUGCUCUAGUGCUCAAAUAAUUAGCAUUCUUAUCAGCCCCCACCUUUACGGUAUUAUCACAUAUGACCUCACCCCAUAUGUAUACAUCACCUAAAGCAUCACAAUCAUCUGGUGCAGAACCAUGACUGGAAGUGCUUGGGGCACUGGAAACACUAACCCGAAAAGCAUCUGAACCAGAUCCUUUAACUUGCAUAUUUGUGUUGUCUGAUGCUACAUGUGACCGAUCAGAAUUUGGAGAAUUCUCAGGCCGAAAACUCCUUGGAGAAGUACUUGGAUUAAAACUGACAGAAAUAUCUGGAGAACUGAUAUCUCGUGUAACACUAAUGGAACUGUCACUUGCAC